GUGGGGAAUAUUGGACAAUGGGGGGAACCCUGAUCCAGCCAUGCCGCGUGUGUGAAGAAGGCCCUCGGGUUGUAAAGCUCUUUUGUCCGGAAAGAAAAGCAUCGGGUUAAUACCCCGGUGUUCUGACGGUACCGGAAGAAUAAGCACCGGCUAACUUCGUGCCAGCAGCCGCGGUAAUACGAAGGGUGCAAGCGUUACUCGGAAUUACUGGGCGUAAAGCGUGCGUAGGUGGUUCGUUAAGUCCGAUGUGAAAGCCCUGGGCUCAACCUGGGAAUGGCAUUGGAUACUGGCGGGCUAGAGUGCGGUAGAGGAUAGUGGAAUUCCUGGUGUAGCAGUGAAAUGCGUAGAGAUCAGGAGGAACAUCCGUGGCGAAGGCGACUGUCUGGACCAGCACUGACACUGAGGCACGAAAGCGUGGGGAGCAAACAGGAUUAGAAACCCGUGUAGUCC
rnacentral:rRNA from 1 species